rnacentral:rRNA from 1 species
GGUAUGGCCACACAGGAUGCCAUGCAGGAUGAUGCGCAGCUGAACACCGACCUGGCCACAGGGGAGUACAAUGACCUGCAGGUAAAAUUGGAUGGUUACAACACCUUAGAUACUGCUAGUCACCCACCAAUAGGAAAGCCAGGGCCACCAGAAAUCCUGCCUUUGUCCGC